UACGGAGGGUGCGAGCGUUGUCCGGAAUCACUGGGCGUAAAGGGCGCGUAGGCGGACUGUUAAGUCGGGGGUGAAAUCCUGGGGCUCAACCUCAGAAUUGCCUCCGAUACUGGCAGUCUCGAGUGCGGGAGAGGUGAGUGGAAUUCCCAGUGUAGAGGUGAAGUUCGUAGAUAUUGGGAAGAACACCAGUGGCGAAGGCGGCUCACUGGCCCGUAACUGACGCUGAGGUGCGAAAGCGUGGGGAGCAAACAGG
rnacentral:rRNA from 1 species